rnacentral:rRNA from 1 species
AUGGGGCUACUCAUUGAGCCUCUCUUACUCGCCAUCAUCUUCCUUGCAUGCUCUGCUGGUUCGGCCACUUCCAUGGCACCGGCUUCAUUGUCCACUUUUGAAACCUCCACCAGCAACACCACUGACCACCUCGCCCUUAUGUCAUUCAACUCGUUCAUAACGAGUGACCCGUCACAGGCCCUGGCGUCUUGGGGCACGGACAACCUGUCUGUUCCAUUGUGCCGAUGGCGCGACGUGACGUGCGGCAUGAGAGGACGCCGCCGCGCCCGCGUCGUGGCGUUGGACCUCCCCGAGCUUGGCCUUCAUGGCACCGUCGCUCCCGAACUUGGUAACCUCACCUACUUGAGGCGUCUCCAUCUCCCCGGGAACAACCUGCACGGCGUCCUACCGCCGGAGUUGGGUGGCCUUCCAGACCUCAGCCACCUGAACCUCUCCGACAACUCCUUCCAAGGGAGGAUUCCGGCGUCACUUUCGAACUGCACCCGUCUUGAGCGCCUUAUGCUCUUCAACAACAGCUUUCAAGGUGAUAUACCGCAGGAGCUCUGCUUGAUGCGUAAUCUCAAGGUACUCAAUCUUGGUAGAAACACCCUUACAGGAGGUAUACCGUCAGGAACUGGCGGUCUCGUGAACCUAAUAUUUCUCAACUUGGAAAUCAACAACCUUACUGGACAAAUCCCGCAGGAGAUAGGAAGUCUUGUUAAACUCGUUAAAGUUGGUCUAGGUCACAAUCUGCUGAGCGGCCCUAUCCCUGCCUCAUUUGGAAACCUUUCAUCCCUAUAUUUUCUUAGUUUAUAUUCAACUCAGCUAACAGGAAGCAUACCACCCCUCCAAAAUCUUUCAUCUCUCGAGGUCCUUGAGUUAAGCAAGAACUACCUCAAGGGAAGCAUCCCGGCUUGGUUGGGAAAUCUCUCAUCUCUUGGAUUUAUUUAUUUUGAUGGAAACCACCUCACAGGACACAUCCCAUCUUCAUUAGGUUACCUUCCGUUGCUCCACGUUCUUAGCAUUUCAAAUAACAACUUUUCAGGUCCCAUACCGCAAUCACUUGGAAACCUUGGUGCCUUAAUAGGCCUUCAUCUAGAUCACAAUGAACUGGAAGGCCCUUUUCCUCUUUCACUACUCAACAUUUCCAGUCUUGCGGUUCUAGACUUGCAAUAUAAUAAUCUUAGUGGAUCUAUCCCACAUAGCAUCGGCAAUAAGCUUCCAAAUAUACAACAACUUCUAACAAGUGUCAAUCAAUUUCAUGGAAUAAUUCCACCAUCCCUGUGCAAUGCCUCUAUGCUUCAAUGGAUCCAAGGAGUAAAUAACUUCUUUUCAGGAACUAUUCCAGAGUGUCUAGGAAUUCACCAAAAGGACUUGACAGUUGUGACUUUUGCAGAGAAUCAGCUUGAAACAAGUAAUGAUUAUGAUUGGGGCUUCAUAUAUAGCCUGACAAAUUGCAGUAGUUUGUUGUUAUUUGAUGUGGGAGACAACAAGCUAAGAGGUGAGCUACCAAAUAUUGUUGGAAAUCUUUCCACACAGCUGCAGUAUUUCGUCACCAAUAUGAACUACAUAACCGGAAAAAUAUCUGAAGGAAUAGGGAAUCUAGUUAACUUGGAAUUCAUUGAGAUGAACAACAAUCUUUUUGAGGGCACAAUUCCGGCCUCAUUUGGUAAACUCAAGAAGCUGAAUCAGUUAUACCUCACAAACAACAAUCUUUCAGGAACCAUUCCGUUAAGUUUCGGCAAUCUUCAAAUGCUAACUGUACUUAGUCUUGGAGGCAAUGCACUCACUGGACCGAUACCUCCCAAUCUAAGCAAUUGUCUUUGGAAAAGUUGGAUCUCGAUUCUAACCAUCUCACUGGUUCAGUACCUAAAGAAAUAUUUUCCAUCUCUACGUUGUCUGAUUAUCUGCAUUUAG